AUUUGCAGCAGGCGCGAAACCUUUACAAUGCGGGCAACCGUGAUAAGGGAACCUCGAGUGCCUGUAAACGCAGGCUGUUCAGGUGUUUAAAACGCACCUGGAGAAAGGGCCGGGCAAGACCGGUGCCAGCCGCCGCGGUAAUACAAUAUUCCUCAGAAAGAUUCUGAUCUUUUCUACGGGCUCUGAACGCUACAUGGGAAGCGAAAACCCUCACGUUAUAGAGGGAUAUUGUGGUCU
rnacentral:rRNA from 1 species